GGAAGUGGGGAUGACGUCAAGUCAGCAUGGCCUUUAUAUCCUGGGGCUACACACACGCUACAAUGGAAGGGACAAUAGGUUGCGAAGCCGCGAGGCGGAGCCAAUCCAGCAAAACUUCCCUCAGUUCAGAUUGCAGGCUGCAACUCGCCUGCAUGAAGUUGGAGUUGCUAGUAAACGCAGGUCAGCCAUACUGCGUUGAAUACGUUCCCGGGGCUU
rnacentral:rRNA from 1 species